AUAGACAUGUCUGCAAAACGUGGAAGCAUAGACAAGACCCUAAACUAUUUGAUCGAAUGCCUCCAAGAAAUGUAGCCGGUCUCAUUGAAUGCGAUGAUUGCACGAUAUACACAAAAUAUCUUUUUUUUGGAAAGGCUUCAAGCAAAUGUAAUGGGCCGGUGUAAAUCCGGACUUGGUAACCUCUGCCUACAGCCUCCCUGCCUGUGCCAAAAUGGGGACUUUGCAACUUCCAGGUGAUAUGAAUCAGGACAAAAAUAUGUGCAAGUUAGGGUGAGCAUCCACAUGGAUGGUCUUGUAUUGGUGUGGAAGAAACCGGUAUUAGGUUUUGCAGGCCUAUUUUUAGGGUUUGGAAGGUCGCCCACCAUUCAACUUGCUUGAUGAGAUGAAGGAUGUUUUGGUUAAUGAUUCCCAAGCAACACUCCCCUUGUCCGUGGGUAUGAAAGACAGGGCCUGGGCUGUCUGUGAAAGGAUAGAUAAUCACAGAACUAGAUCAUUUUCCUGUAUAUUGAGUACAGAUUUCUGUGCUCGAUAAGUAAGGUUUUUCUA